rnacentral:rRNA from 1 species
AGCAGCCGCGGUAAUUCCAGCUCCAAUAGCGUAUAUUAAAGUUGUUGCAGUUAAAAAGCUCGUAGUUGAAUUUCGGGAUCAAUUAAUCGGUCGUGCCUCUGGUACGUACUGGUUUUAUUGGUUCCUCCCUUCUGACGAAACACGAUGUCAUUAAUUUGGUGUCGUGGAGAAUCAGGACUGUUACCUUGAAAAAAUUAGAGUGUUUAUAGCAGGCUAACGCUUGAAUACAUUAGCAUGGAAUAAUGAAAUAGGACGUUCGACCCUAUUUUGUUGGUUUCUAGGAUCGACGUAAUGACUAAUAGGGAUAGUUGGGGGCAUUAGUAUUCAAUUGUCAGAGGUGAAAUUCUUGGAUUUAUUGAAGACUAACUACUGCGAAAGCAUUUUGCCAAGGAUGUUUUCAUUAAUCAAGAACGAAAGUUAGGGGAUCGAAGACGAUCAGAUACCGUCGUAGUCUUAACCAUAAACUAUGCCGACUAGGGAUCGGAUGAUGUUAAUUUUUAAUGACUCAUUCGGCGCCUUA